AUUCCCCAGAAUUCCAUCUCUAUAUUUUCCUUGUAAACCCUAGAUUUUCAAAUUUAUCUCCCUGUAAAUCUUUCUUUCUUCAAUUACAAGGGGAUUUCGAUGGAGUAUUUCAAGAUUUUCACUUCGUUCUUCAACAACAAGCGGGUUUUUACGGAUUAUUUCAAGUUCCUCACCUUUUUCUUCGACGGCAAACGGAUUUGGCCGAUUAUUUCAAUUUUCUCCGGGAGGAGAUUAAAUUAGACAUUCUAACUCGCAUACCAGCUGAAUCGGUUGUUGAUUGCAAAUUUGUAUGCACAAAUUGGAAAAGUCUUGUUUCUCAUCCGUCAUUCUAUAAAUUGCACUUCCAUCACCUUAAUGAUUCUGCUGCUGAUUAUGGUAAGUUGGGCUUUCUUGCUUUGAUUCCUAAUGAGAUUAAAAAAUUUCACUAUUUUGAAUAUAAUGAGAAUCAUGAUGAUUCAACACCACCCAUUCAGAGAAUUAGAAGAAUUAAUUUUACCCCUCCGUAUAAGAAUUUUAGGUUUAUUGGUUCCUGUAAUGGUUUGGUAUGUGUUAUUGAAGGCCGAUCCGUUUGUAUUUUUAAGCCAAUCACCAGGGAAUAUGUUCUGCUUCCCGAAAUCAAGGAUUAUGAAUGGUAUACUACUGGUGAUGUGACAAGCAGCUUUGGUUAUGCUGCUUCAACAAAUGACUACAAAGUUGUUGCAGUAAUACAUGAUCUGUUGGACCGCUAUUCUCGAGCAGUCCACAUUUACACUCUAGGCAGUCGCAAUUGAUGGAGAGAACUUGGAGACUUCGAGUUCAAUGUCUAUAAUUGGGAUGAACCUGGUAUUUUUGCCAAUGGAGCUCUUUAUUGGGUGAGCCUUAAAUUAGAAAGAAUUAUGUUCUUUGAUUUAGCUGAGGAAACUUUUUGGGAUGAUCUUCCACUACCUCCUUCGCCACCAGACAGUAUUUGGCACAAUAAUCGAAUAGGGGUGUUGAAUGGGUGUUUGUCUUUUGCCAUUAGUGUUGAUAUCGAAGAAGAAAAAUAUUUUGACAUAUGGCUAUUGAAAAAGAAGGUUGAUAAUCAUGGAAAGUGGUUGGGUUGGAUUAAAGGAGUUAGGAUAGACAGAAACGGAUUCUUAGCCAUUACGAAGAGUGAUGGUGUUUUGACUUACAAUGUUAACUAUCUCAACAUUAGAAUACAAAAACUUCUGCCUCGAAAAGCCUUGUGAAGUUUAACAAUUGGCUUCUCCAAGUAUCCCCUCACAAGAACACCUUGGUUUCAUUGAAAGAAUUAGGGGAAGAAGAUACAAAAACAAUGCAGUCAGUCGAAAUUGAGGACCCAAGAAGGCGUGAUUAUCCUUUGAAGCAGCUCAAGGAAGAUGGGACUCCUGAAUACUUAUUCUUAUAAACUGGUAAUAUUCAGUUCUGAAAGUAGCAUUUAUAUAAUUUUAUAUGCUUUUGAGUUUUGUUUUUGAAAUUGGAUAACUAGUGACCUUAGUGUGAACCUUAGUUUGAAAUUGGAUAACUAUUGGCACUGUCUCGGUUAGUUAUGUAUGUUGUAAGUUAGCUUUGUUUUGUCUUUAUAUCAUCGGUCCAACUUUAUACUAGUGUUUCUUAUGUUGGGUUAAGCUAUAUUGCUUUGUUGAUUGUGCACUUUGUUAGUGAGUCAACAUUUAUUCAAGGAAACUGAGAGCUUUCUCAUUAGUGGGGAAUACCUACCUCUACAUGUUAUCUGAUAGAUAAUUUUAAGGAUCCAAAGUUUUGUUUUUUCAUUUUUUCUGCUGGUGCUUUUCAUACUGCUUAUUACUUAUUGUUACUGUUGAAGUUGCUAGUAUCAUGUUACACAAAGUGGUCGUUUGAAUAGAAAACUGCACUAUUCGUUCUCUGUGAUAGUUAUGAUUUACGUUUCUAUUCUGUCAUUAAUCACAGAGUCCACAACCGACCAAAUUGGUAUAUCUUUAAAUAAUGCUACUUUACCAUCUCCAUGGGAAGGUACCUUGCAGACUUCUAGCGUGAUUUCAUUUUGGGUCAAUGUCCCUAAUGAUGAUUAGAACAUAGACUAUUCCAGAUCUGGAAAUUCAAGUCUGCAUAAUUCUUUGUCCUAAUUCCACAAUCUUUUAAGAAUGCUGCAUAUAUUUGGAUCAUGUUUAAAAUUUCUGUGUCUUGUCAAUUUGUCUGAUAAAGCCACAAGUUUUCUUAAUCCGGCUUGUUACUUGAGCAACGACAGUAUUCCGGUUAUCUAGCAGCUAAAAAUCUACAUUAAUAUGAAUAUUUCAUUUAAAGGGUGCAGCAUUUGUAGGACCUUCCUUUAUAUUCUGUUCUUACAAUAGUGAUCAUUGAGUAGACAGAUAAUUGGUUGAUGUGUUAGCAUUUGCAAUAACUUAAGCCUUAAGGUAUGCUGCGCUUCCAGUAAGGUCAUUGAGUAGAAUUCGUUUUGCUUUAGUAUACUCUUACUUUGGUGAUCAUUGACUAGACAGAUAACUAGUCGAUAUAGUAUAACAUUUGUGAUAGCUUAAUUUAUAUUACUCUUCCUGUAAAGAUUAUCUAGUAGAAUUCAAUAUCCGUCUUCAUUGAACCCUGCAGAAAAUGUUUGGAAUAUUAAAAACUUCAUAAACUCCUUUGGAGUCUGGUAAACCCCAUGAUUUGUUCAAUGAAGAGCCAUUGAGCUUCAAAUUCUUGGAAACUGAGAAAUUGAGGCUUAAAAUUACACUUUCAUAUAAAAGUUCGGGUUCUUGAUUGUGCAAAAUUAUCAUAAUCGGCUACUUAGAUGAGCAAAGAGCAAUACACGCUUAUUGCACUAAAAGGUCCCACAUUCAUUAUUCCCAUUUGUAGAGCCAACAAUAUUGUUCUCUGAUACCUGUCAGUGAACUUGAUGUUGCUACGGUAAAGCUUCAGAAAGCUCAUAAGAGUUGCUGAACUCCGAGAUCUCCUACAGAUUUUGCUGGAGGAGCUCUGUUGGGCUUCGCCGCUCUCAAGCAGAGUUCGGUAUUUUUAUUCAACAUUGAUAAACCAGAAACAGAUGCUUCACAAUUGUACGGAAAGGACAAUAGCUUCCAAGGUACCCCUCAUUUGACAAACCAAAUUAAAACCAUAGGAGUUUGUAGCCAAAUUAAUAUCUGACAUAUAGUUGUUAGUACUCAAAAGGUUAGUAGAAAUUACGGAGAUACAAGAGAACCGGCCCCCAAUCAUGCCAUAUAAUUGAGACACUAGUACAGCUGAGAUCUUUUGGCAGCUGCAGGACAUGUAUGGCGGAUUCAUCAUUUACAAUCCUGUUGAAUAAUACUCCUUUUGGAGCCUCUCUGCAUGCAGCUCUCCAGAAGUGACCUGUUGAGUCUUGCAGGUAUAUAAAUUUGCUCGAUAUCUUUUUUCAACGUUGAAAAACCCGAAACCUAUGUGUCACGAUGAGCACGUGCAUGGACAAGAGCUUCCAAGAAACUGGAAAUUCGAAGAAAGAGUGUGAAGUCAGUUUCAGAGCUAUUAUUGGAUCCUAGGUGAGGCUUGAGGUUCUGAUAUGGUGGAUUAUUUCUCCAGCAAUCGCUAUGUUAUCAUGGAUUGAUCUUUAUGGAACAAAGACACUUUGAUAGGGGCUUAUUAAGAAGGGGAGUAGUGGUCUAAUUCGGUUCUCGAGUAUCUUUGCUAUGAUUUUAUAUGUGACGUUACAUAGCCCAAUGGGUCUGAAUUGUGAAGGUUUCGAUGGGUGAUCCACUUGGGGUAUUAACUUUAGGUUUGUGUGAUUCAUUACUGGAUGCAUAGUAAGAUUAUUGAAAAACCUUUGAAACAUAGCUAUCAAUUGGGAGUGAGUUAUUUCCUAUAAAUCUUUGAAGAACUUGUGCUAUCUUUUUCUUGCGGUUUAUGAUUAUUUUUUUGUCUUAUCAUGCACCUAUUUUCAACUUAUUUUUGCUGGAAUAUGCAGCUG